CCUACGGGGGGCUGCAGUGAGGAAUAUUGGUCAAUGGGCGUAAGCCUGAACCAGCCAAGUCGCGUGAGGGAUGAAGGUUCUAUGGAUCGUAAACCUCUUUUAUAAGGGAAUAAAGUGUGGGACGUGUCCUAUUUUGUAUGUACCUUAUGAAUAAGGAUCGGCUAACUCCGUGCCAGCAGCCGCGGUAAUACGGAGGAUCCGAGCGUUAUCCGGGUUUAUUGGGUUUAAAGGGUGCGUAGGCGGCCUUUUAAGUCAGCGGUGAAAGUUUGGGGCUCAACCAGAGAGUUGCGGUGGAAACUGGGGGGCUUGAGUAGGUGUGAGGCAGGCGGAAUGCGUGGUGUAGCGGUGAAAUGCUUAGAUAUCACGCAGAACCCCGAUUGCGAAGGCAGCCUGCCAAGCCAUGACUGACGCUGAUGCACGAAAGCGUGGGGAUCGAACAGGAUUAGAUACCCCAGUAGUC
rnacentral:rRNA from 1 species